GAAAUGCGAUAAGUAAUGUGAAUUGCAGAAUUCAGUGAAUCAUCGAAUCUUUGAACGCACAUUGCGCCCAUUAGUAUUCUAGUGGGCAUGCCUGUUCGAGCGUCAUUUCAACCCUUAAGCUUAGCUUAGUGUUGGGAGACUGCCUAACCGCAGCUCCUCAAAUACAGUUGGCAGAGUGUAUGUGUGCUCUGAGCGUAGUAAUUUAUUCUCGCUUCUGAAAACCAUAUACUGUAGCCACAAACCUAUUAUUUUUUAAUGGUUGACCUCGGAUCAGGUAGGAAUACCCGCUGAACUUAA
rnacentral:misc_RNA from 1 species